rnacentral:rRNA from 1 species
ACAGCAGUAGCCGCGGUAAUACGAAGGGGGCUAGCGUUGCUCGGAAUUACUGGGCGUAAAGGGCGCGUAGGCGGCGCUCCAAGUUAGGCGUGAAAUUUCCGGGCUCAACCUGGGGACUGCGCUUAAGACUGGAGUGCUUGAGGAUGGAAGAGGGUUGUGGAAUUCCCAGUGUAGAGGUGAAAUUCGUAGAUAUUGGGAAGAACACCGGUGGCGAAGGCGGCAACCUGGUCCAUUACUGACGCUGAGGCGCGAUAGCGUGGGGAGCAAACAGGAUUAGAUACCCGAGUAGUCCCUGUCUCUUAUAC